rnacentral:tRNA from 1 species
CAUUUUAUAGCCGAGUGGACAAGGCACCUGCCCGGUAAGCAGAAGGGUGUGGGUUCGAUUCCCGCCCCUGGUAUGU